UAACUGACUGUCUUUCCAGUCUGACUACUCCUAUCCAAGCGCCAUGGCCAGACUUACCACUGGGCUCGACUGGGCUGAAGCCCAUGGGCCCUGCCUUGUACAGGGCCCCGCCUUUGCCCAUUUAUGUUUGUUUCAUUUGUUCAGUUAUGCCAUAUCCACUGCACACGCAUGGGUUAACAGCUUCCAACUGCGACCUUCAAGGCCAUAAUCAAACAGCAUAAAACUGAUUCUGUUACCAUUGCCAUGCAUUGUACGGCUGAGAGACUACAGCGGCUGAAGCUAAAAAUCUUUGUUUGUGUUCUACUGAAGAAACAAAGUCACCUACAUCUUGGAUGCCCUGGGGGUAAGCAGAUAAAUAUACAUUUUUUUUUGGGGGGGGGGGGGUGAACUAUCCCUUGAACUACUUUAAUUUUGCAAUGCCACACAAACACUCCAAAAGGUUAAGAUAUUAUUCAAGUACUCUUUCAACACCAUGAGAAAAUAAAAUGUGAACAAGCACAUACAAAACAUCUACUGUUAACACUCCACCCUAUUUAUCUGGUAUCACUGCAUUACGCACUAUUUAAAAGGUGUGUCAGUGAUGUCAUACCUCUCACAAACAAAAACACAUGUCUCACAUGUCUCUCUUGUUACAGAAGGCCUAUAUACUACCAGCCUGGACUGACCUUCUGUUCCUCCUCAUUACACACAUAACACAAUCAUUCCCAGCACAGGACAGGAAGUAUGAAGAACUAUGAAAAUAAACCAGUGAAGUGAUUUUCCCACAGUGUGGCUGCCUGGUAACAAUCUGAAAAAUAACAUUGUCAGAUAAUGUAUUAGUUAGUUGAUGCAUUAACUAACAUUAAGUAAUGGGACCUUAUUGUAAAGUGUUACCCAAAAUUUGUGAAAAAAGUAGGUGAAUCAACAUUCAAGACAAUUAUUUUUAAAGGGGUCAUAUGAUGAUAUGAUUACAAGUUUUCCUUUCUCUUUGGAGAGUUACAAGCUGAUUGUGCAUUUCCUCUUGACAAUAUCCCAUAGAUUCUCUCUGGG
ensembl:lncRNA